AAGCACAUGAUCACCAGUGCAACACAUCUUUGUAACCAUAGAUGAUGCCUUGCUUGCAAGCACAUACAUAACGAAAAAUCUUCAAACUGGGAUAGCACUACAGCCGACAAAGUUUAACAAAAGUAGAAAUUCUUGCAAAAUAACAUAGUACCAGUGCACUCUAUUUUUGUUCUUACAUAAAAGGCCACAAGGUCAAACAAAAAGACUGAUUCGCAAAAGAGUAAUCAACUAAAUGAAAUAAGGCAAAGGUUUCCUGCGGUUGCAAACUCCAAUAAGCUGCCAUGAACCUCUUCAUUUUUCUAAAUGCCAUGAAUCGCUUGACUUUGCCAAUCCCAGCCUGAAAAAUAAGAGAUAGAAAAGAACAAUCACACGACUACUCUUAACUUUUUUCAGUUGUACAAAUAAGAUAUCACAUUCUAAGAGUAUGAGGAAAUGUUUUUUUCCUAUAGAGAAGCUAUACCUAAUUAUUUAGCUAAUUGCCAAAUCUCUUCCAAAUGUGCUCAACCAAGUCCCUCUUGAGUUGCGUAUGUGUUGAGCGAUCACGAAUUCCAGCAUUUCUCCGAAGAACAUCAGCAAAGCAUGUGUUACCACCUACCUUCAUUUCUGGAGGUAACACAACUGAUGACCCCGGAGUCUCAUUCAAGUCAAGAGGAGUGGUGACCAUUUCCCUCUCAUCUUCAACUAUCAUAUUGUGAAGAAUGAUGCAUGCUUUCAUAAUAUUUCCAAUAGAUGCUCGCGACCAUAAUCGUGCUGGACGACGCACAAUGGAGAAGCGAGAUUGCAAGACCCCGAAUGCACGUUCAAUAUCCUUCCUAGCUCCUUCUUGAAGUUGUGCAAACCGCUUGUCCUUUUCUGUUUGGGGGAGUGGAAUUGUCUUGACGAAGGCAGCCCAUUCUGGGUAUAUGCCAUCCGCAAGAUAGUAGCCAGUAUUGUACCGCCUCUCAAAUGAGUCAGACUUGCUAUGGAAUGUAGAGAUGGUGCUCUGCUUGUGCACAGUGUGGUGCAUUAUAUAGAGUUGGAGGUAGGUAGUACAAUAGACUAGUGCAGUACAAGUCAACAUGUUGAAAAUACUGCCUAGUAUUGGGAUUGCAAGGUAGUAUUGGGACUGUAUACAGUCAAGGCAUUAACACAAGCAUAAAUUUUCUAACUACAUAGUAGUUUGGUACGGUCAAGGCAUUUAACACAAGCAGUAUGGUCAAAUAAAAUGGCCAAUUUUUAGAGGAAAUAAAACAACCAUUUGAUUCAGCUAAUUAAAUUCAUACCUCAGUCCGAUGCACCAAAUAACUUCUCUGACAUAGACUUCAAAGCUUUCACAUGCUCGGCUUUCAACUCGGCCGACAUACUUGUUGUGUCUUGUGAAAAGAGCCACUUGAACGUAUCCAACAUUUUUGCCUCUUUUUUCUCCUUAGCUGCAACAGCAUUGAGC
rnacentral:lncRNA from 1 species